rnacentral:rRNA from 1 species
GCAUCGAUGAAGAACGCAGCGAAAUGCGAUAAGUAAUGUGAAUUGCAGAAUUCAGUGAAUCAUCGAAUCUUUGAACGCACAUUGCGCCCGCCAGUAUUCUGGCGGGCAUGCCUGUUCGAGCGUCAUUUCAACCAUCAAGCCCCGGGCUUGUGUUGGGGACCUGCGGCUGCCGCAGGCCCUGAAAAGCAGUGGCGGGCUCGCUGUCACACCGAGCGUAGUAGCAUACAUCUCGCUCUGGGCGUGCUGCGGGUUCCGGCCGUUAAACCACCUUUUAACCCAAGGUUGACCUCGGAUCAGGUAGGAAGACCCGCUGAACUUAAGCAUAUCAAUAAGCGGAGGA